UACGUAGGGACCAAGCGUUGUUCGGAAUUACUGGGCGUAAAGCGCGCGUAGGCGGCUUUGUAAGUUAGAGGUGAAAGCCCGGAGCUCAACUCCGGAACUGCCUUUAAGACUGCAUCGCUAGAAUUGUGGAGAGGUGAGUGGAACUGCGAGUGUAGAGGUGAAAUUCGUAGAUAUUCGCAAGAACACCAGUGGCGAAGGCGGCUCACUGGCCCGGUACUGACGCUGAGGUGCGAAAGCGUGGGGAGCAAACAGG
rnacentral:rRNA from 1 species